rfam:TNVERIFIED: Cronobacter phage S13, complete genome.
UGCGCGGUAGUGAAAUGGUAUCAUUUGGGGUUCAUAACCCUAAGUUGGAAGUUCGAAUCUUCCCUGCGCAU